UACGUAGGGGGCAAGCGUUGUCCGGAAUCAUUGGGCGUAAAGAGCGCGUAGGCGGCUUGUCGCGUCGACUGUGAAAACCCGCGGCUCAACUGCGGGCUUGCAGCCGAUACGGGCAGGCUAGAGUUCGGUAGGGGAGACUGGAAUUCCUGGUGUAGCGGUGAAAUGCGCAGAUAUCAGGAGGAACACCAGUGGCGAAGGCGGCUCACUGGUCCAUUACUGACGCUGAGGUGCGAAAGCGUGGGGGAGCAAACAGG
rnacentral:rRNA from 1 species